CAAGUCGAACGGGAAAGUGGAGCAAUCCAUGAGUACAGUGGCGUACGGGUGAGUAACACGUGGGUAUCUAACUCUUAGUGGGGAAUAACCCAGGGAAACCGGGGCUAAUACCGCAUAAGCUCGAGAGAGGAAAGCAGCAAUGCGCUGAGAGAGGAGCCCGCGGCCGAUUAGCUAGUUGGUAGGGUAAAGGCCUACCAAGGCAGAGAUCGGUAGCCGGCCUGAGAGGGCACACGGCCACACUGGCACUGAAACACGGGCCAGACUCCUACGGGAGGCAGCAGUGGGGAAUCUUGCACAAUGGGGGCAACCCUGAUGCAGCGACGCCGCGUGAGCGAUGAAGCCCUUCGGGGUGUAAAGCUCUUUCGUCAGGGAAGAUAAUGACGGUACCUGGAGAAGCAGCUGCGGCUAACUACGUGCCAGCAGCCGCGGUAAUACGUAGGCAGCGAGCGUUGUUCGGAGUUACUGGGCGUAAAGGGUGUGUAGGCGGUUCUUUAAGUUUAGUGUGAAAUCUCCCGGCUCAACCGGGAGGGUGCGCUGAAUACUGAGGGACUAGAGUACGGGAGAGGAAAGUGGAAUUCCUGGUGUAGCGGUGAAAUGCGUAGAUAUCAGGAGGAACACCGGUGGUGUAGACGGCUUUCUGGACCGUAACUGACGCUGAGACACGAAAGCGUGGGUAGCAAACAGGAUUAGAUACCCUGGUAGUCCACGCCCUAAACGAUGCAUAUUUGGUGUGGGUCAUUCAGUUGAUCCGUGCCGGAGCUAACGCGUUAAAUAUGCCGCCUGGGGAGUACAGUCGCAAGGCUGAAACUCAAGGAAUUGACGGGGGCCC
rnacentral:rRNA from 1 species